rfam:Pseudomonas fulva 12-X, complete genome.
UUGUACAGCUUUUACCGCUAGCGUAUUAAUUUUAGUGAAAAAAAUGCGGAACCCUUGCCUGUCGUCCGUUUACUUACUAAAAGUUACAGGUAGUAUGUACGCCGGCCAUUUUCCGGGUUCGGGAAA